UCAACUUUUUGUUUUUUCCGUUUAGUUUGGGGCGGCAACUUUUGUUUAAGCAUUAAAUUACACCUAUAUAAAUCCACAUUGCCUUCACUCUUCAUUCUAACAAUUACUCCUCCUUUCUUGAGCCUUCUAUUAUAUACCUUGUUAGUUAUUUCCUCUCACCAGUAUUUGAAUUCAAGAUCUUCCCUUUAGAUUUAUCGAAGAUGGUUAUUGCUAAGCUGUUUGUAGUGUUUCUACUAUUGCAAAUGAUGAGUGGCUUCGUAUUUCGAGCAAAGGGUUUGAGUAUGGGCUAUUACAUUAUGAGCUGCCCGAUGGCUGAACUUAUUGUGAGAAAUACAGUCACCAGGGCCUUGCAAGCUGAUCCAACCUUAGCUGCAGGUCUAAUCAGAAUGCACUUCCAUGACUGCUUCAUAGAGGGAUGUGAUGCGUCAAUUCUCCUGGAUUCAACAAAAGAUAACACAGCAGAGAAGGACUCUCCAGCAAAUUUGAGCUUGCGUGGCUAUGAAGUUAUAGAUGCUGCAAAAGCGGAACUUGAAAAAAAAUGCCCUGGCGUGGUCUCUUGCGCCGACAUAGUUGCAAUGGCUUCUACAUAUGCAGUUUUUGCGGCUGGGGGCCCGGUUUAUGACAUACCCAAAGGAAGAAAGGAUGGAAGGAGGUCUAAAAUAGAAGACACAAGGAAUCUGCCUCCACCCACUUUGAAUGCCUCUGAGCUCAUUACAAUGUUUGGGCAACAUGGAUUUAGUGCUCAAGAAAUGGUUGCUUUAUCUGGUGCUCACACACUAGGUGUAGCCAGGUGCUCGUCGUUCAAAACCGAUUGAGUGAUAAUGUGGACCCAGAUUUAGAUUCAGGUUUUGCAAAGCAACUGACCAAAACAUGCAGCGCAGGCGAUAAUGCCGAGCAACCCUUCGAUGCAACGAGAAACAAUUUUGAUAAUGUCUACUUCAACGGACUGCAAAGGAAGGCUGGAGUCCUGAGUUCUGAUCAAACCCUAUUUGCCAGUGCAAAAACUAGAAACAUUGUAAAUGGUUAUGCCUUCAACCAAGCCAUGUUCUUCUUAGAUUUUCAACAGGCAAUGGUGAAAAUGAGCACCCUUGAUGUCAAGGAAGGUUCCAAAGGAGAAAUAAGAACAAAUUGCCGCAAAAUGAACUAAGGAAGAAGAGUACUUUUUUAUGGAGAGAGUUGCGCGUUCAACUCUUCUUCAUUGUGAAUUAUUGAUGGGUAAAACAAUAUCUGUCAUUGUUUAAUAGAUAAGUUACAUAUAUAAUCUGUUGUCCUUUGAGCUUGUUACUUGUACUGUUUCUUUGUAGUAUUUGUACUUAGCUUUUCGCGUAAA